GUUUUUACUACUAUGAUGAGAGUGCUGAAAAGUUCCUGGCUUUGGGUAGAAGAGAAUACAGGAGGAUCAAUUAAUUAAGAUUCUAUCCAACAUAUCCCCCUCUCAGAUUUACACACUUAUUGCAGCUCUCCUUCAGUCUUUCUAAGCUCUGUAAUAAAA